UACGUAGGGUGCAAGCGUUGUCCGGAAUUAUUGGGCGUAAAGAGCUCGUAGGCGGUCUGUUGCGUCGGCUGUGAAAACCCGAGGCUCAACCUCGGGCCUGCAGCCGAUACGGGCAGACUAGAGUUCGGCAGGGGAGACUGGAAUUCCUGGUGUAGCGGUGAAAUGCGCAGAUAUUAGGAGGAACACCGGUGGCGAAGGCGGGUCUCUGGGCCGAUACUGACGCUGAGGAGCGAAAGCGUGGGGAGCGAACAGG
rnacentral:rRNA from 1 species